AGCGUACACGGUGGAUGCCCUGGCAGUCAGAGGCGAUGAAGGACGUGCUAAUCUGCGAAAAGCGUCGGUAAGGUGAUAUGAACCGUUAUAACCGGCGAUGUCCGAAUGGGGAAACCCAGUGCAAUUCGUUGCACUAUCGUUAACUGAAUACAUAGGUUAACGAGGCGAACCGGGGGAACUGAAACAUCUAAGUACCCCGAGGAAAAGAAAUCAACCGAGAUUCCCCCAGUAGCGGCGAGCGAACGGGGAGCAGCCCAGAGUCUGAAUCAGCUUGUGUGUUAGUGGAACGGUCUGGAAAGUCCGACGGUACAGGGUGAUAGUCCCGUACACCAAAAUGCACAGGCUGUGAACUCGAAGAGUAGGGCGGGACACGUGGUAUCCUGUCUGAAUAUGGGGGGACCAUCCUCCAAGGCUAAAUACUCCUGACUGACCGAUAGUGAACCAGUACCGUGAGGGAAAGGCGAAAAGAACCCCGGCGAGGGGAGUGAAAAAGAACCUGAAACCGUGUACGUACAAGCAGUAGGAGCCCACUUGUUGGGUGACUGCGUACCUUUUGUAUAAUGGGUCAGCGACUUAUAUUCUGUAGCAAGGUUAACCGUAUAGGGGAGCCGCAGGGAAACCGAGUCUUAACUGGGCGUUAAGUUGCAGGGUAUAGACCCGAAACCCGGUGAUCUAGCCAUGGGCAGGUUGAAGGUUGGGUAACACUAACUGGAGGACCGAACCGACUAAUGUUGAAAAAUUAGCGGAUGACUUGUGGCUGGGGGUGAAAGGCCAAUCAAACCGGGAGAUAGCUGGUUCUCCCCGAAAGCUAUUUAGGUAGCGCCUCGUGAACUCAUCUUCGGGGGUAGAGCACUGUUUCGGCUAGGGGGUCAUCCCGACUUACCAACCCGAUGCAAACUACGAAUACCGAAGAAUGUUAUCACGGGAGACACACGGCGGGUGCUAACGUCCGUCGUGAAGAGGGAAACAACCCAGACCGCCAGCUAAGGUCCCAAAGUCAUGGUUAAGUGGGAAACGAUGUGGGAAGGCACAGACAGCCAGGAUGUUGGCUUAGAAGCAGCCAUCAUUUAAAGAAAGCGUAAUAGCUCACUGGUCGAGUCGGCCUGCGCGGAAGAUGUAACGGGGCUAAACCAUGCACCGAAGCUGCGGCAGCGACACUAUGUGUUGUUGGGUAGGGGAGCGUUCUGUAAGCCUGCGAAGGUGACCUGUGAGGGUUGCUGGAGGUAUCAGAAGUGCGAAUGCUGACAUAAGUAACGAUAAAGCGGGUGAAAAGCCCGCUCGCCGGAAGACCAAGGGUUCCUGUCCAACGUUAAUCGGGGCAGGGUGAGUCGACCCCUAAGGCGAGGCCGAAAGGCGUAGUCGAUGGGAAACAGGUUAAUAUUCCUGUACUUGGUGUUACUGCGAAGGGGGGACGGAGAAGGCUAUGUUAGCCGGGCGACGGUUGUCCCGGUUUAAGCAUGUAGGCUGGUUAUCCAGGCAAAUCCGGAUAAUCAAGGCUGAGGUGUGAUGACGAGGCACUACGGUGCUGAAGUAACAAAUGCCCUGCUUCCAGGAAAAGCCUCUAAGCAUCAGGUAACAUCAAAUCGUACCCCAAACCGACACAGGUGGUCAGGUAGAGAAUACCAAGGCGCUUGAGAGAACUCGGGUGAAGGAACUAGGCAAAAUGGUGCCGUAACUUCGGGAGAAGGCACGCUGGUGUGUAGGUGAAGUCCCUGCGGAUGGAGCUGAGACCAGUCGAAGAUACCAGCUGGCUGCAACUGUUUAUUAAAAACACAGCACUGUGCAAACACGAAAGUGGACGUAUACGGUGUGACGCCUGCCCGGUGCCGGAAGGUUAAUUGAUGGGGUUAUCCGUAAGGAGAAGCUCUUGAUCGAAGCCCCGGUAAACGGCGGCCGUAACUAUAACGGUCCUAAGGUAGCGAAAUUCCUUGUCGGGUAAGUUCCGACCUGCACGAAUGGCGUAAUGAUGGCCAGGCUGUCUCCACCCGAGACUCAGUGAAAUUGAACUCGCUGUGAAGAUGCAGUGUACCCGCGGCAAGACGGAAAGACCCCGUGAACCUUUACUAUAGCUUGACACUGAACAUUGAGCCUUGAUGUGUAGGAUAGGUGGGAGGCUUUGAAGCGUGGACGCCAGUCUGCGUGGAGCCGUCCUUGAAAUACCACCCUUUAAUGGCUGGUGUUCUAACGUAGACCCGUGAUCCGGGUUGCGGACAGUGUCUGGUGGGUAGUUUGACUGGGGCGGUCUCCUCCUAAAGAGUAACGGAGGAGCACGAAGGUCAGCUAAUCCUGGUCGGACAUCAGGAGGUUAGUGCAAUGGCAUAAGCUGGCUUGACUGCGAGCGUGACGGCGCGAGCAGGUGCGAAAGCAGGUCAUAGUGAUCCGGUGGUUCUGAAUGGAAGGGCCAUCGCUCAACGGAUAAAAGGUACUCCGGGGAUAACAGGCUGAUACCGCCCAAGAGUUCAUAUCGACGGCGGUGUUUGGCACCUCGAUGUCGGCUCAUCACAUCCUGGGGCUGAAGUAGGUCCCAAGGGUAUGGCUGUUCGCCAUUUAAAGUGGUACGCGAGCUGGGUUUAGAACGUCGUGAGACAGUUCGGUCCCUAUCUGCCGUGGGCGCUGGAGAAUUGAGGGGGGCUGCUCCUAGUACGAGAGGACCGGAGUGGACGCAUCACUGGUGUUCGGGUUGUCAUGCCAAUGGCACUGCCCGGUAGCUAAAUGCGGAAGAGAUAAGUGCUGAAAGCAUCUAAGCACGAAACUUGCCCCGAGAUGAGUUCU
rnacentral:rRNA from 1 species